GCUGUUGAGAACGUUCUUGAUUGUGGAGAAGUAAUUCCUACUAGGAAGCAAUUUGUAUCCAAGAGCUAUCAUGUUUCAAACAGCAUUAGUAGAAGCAUUUAGCAGUGCUGAUCAACUUGGAUAAAUUUGGAAGAGAAAACAGAGAUUUGUAAAUUAUUAUGGGAAACAGAAUCUGCAGAUUGGUGGGAGGAGGGAAAAAAGACUAGAGGAGGAAGGAAGCCAUAUCCUAAAAAGACAAGAGCUUGGUUAUAUACUGGCGGUGUUGUAGGGAGAGAGAAAAUUGCACUAAGCUGCUCUAGUGUCCGGCUCCCUCUGGAAAGCACUGUGAUUUGGGGUAAAAUAGCCUCGGAUGGCGAGCAAGCAGAAUUAAAGCCCAUCAACCCAGGAGCGCCUGGCUGACAAGUCCAGCAGUAAUGGUGAGGAGAGACAGCAGUUGAUCUGGAAUCAACCGAAACCUGGUUCCAGAGCUUGGUAGGUGCUAACUGCAAGGACAUACCUUGAGGAAGGAGUUUCUUGCACCAAGAAUUGGAUCUUCAGGAGGGAGCAAGCUAUGAUAAGGAGGAUGAUGAAACACGGGAAGCUGUUAGGCCUGAGCAGGGAAACAAACAUACUUUACGAUCUGAUAGGUCAGCCCGGGAAGGACAUAACCCCAGAAAUUGUGGGCGAUGUAAACUAGCUUGUAUAUGUUAGGUCUCCCUAGACUUUUCAGUGUGUAGACACAGUGUAUCUUGUUAGUAUUAGAUAUGUUCAUUAUGGCAGGUGUCUGUUAGUAAUCUGUCUAUUGUCAAUCCUUCUCUCUCUGGUUCCCUUUCCCUCAUUAGAUUUUGCUGGAUAGAAGAGUGACUGUACUGCCUAUUGUUCCACACUGUUCCAUACCCUGCCCACCCAACUUAACAAUUGCACCCCCACCCCCAUCUCCACCCUCUAGCAAGCUCCCUACCUGGCCCUAUUUCUAUCCCCUUGGCAUUUAUCAUCAUCUAAUAUUCUAUAUAAUUUACCUACAUAUUAUAUUUAUAAUUUAUUAUCCAUCUUCUCCUCCCGGAAUGUCAGCCCCAUGAGGGUGGAGGAUGUUGUCUGUUCUCAGUUUUUGUUUCCCGAAUGCCUAGAACAGUGCGUGAGGGCUUAGGAAGUUAUUGAAUGACUAAAUUUUGACUAAAUUGUUGGGCCCCUCAAUAAAUAUCUUGAUUAG
rnacentral:lncRNA from 1 species